UCUCCAUGUUAAUGAUGACCAAUGGGAA
rnacentral:piRNA from 1 species